rnacentral:rRNA from 1 species
AAUCUUUCGCAAUGGGCGAAAGCCUGACGCAGCGAUGACGCGUGAAUGAUGCAGGUCUUAGGAUUGUAAAAUUCGUUCACCGGGGACGAUAAUGACGGUAGCCGGAGAAGAAGCCCCGGCUACCUUCGUGCCAGCAUCCGCGGUAAUACGAAUGGGGCUAGCGUUUCCUGGAAUUACUGGUCGUAAAGGGCGCGUAGGCGGAUCUUUAAGUCAGGGGUGAAAUCCCGGGGCUCAACCUCGGAACAGCCCUUUAUACUGGCGAUCUUGAGUAUGAGAGAGGUAUGUGGAACUCCGAGUGUAGAGGUGAAAUUCGUAGAUAUUCGGAAGAACACCAGUGGCGAAGGCGACAUACUGGCUCAUUACUGACGCUGAGGCGCGAAAGCGUGGGGAGCAAACA